rnacentral:Y_RNA from 1 species
GGCUGGUCCGAAGGUAGUGACUUAUCUCGAUUGUUCACAGUCGGUUACAGAUCGAACUCCUUGUUCGACUCUUUCCCCCUUCUCACUACUGCACUUGACUAGUCUAAA